rnacentral:misc_RNA from 1 species
ACCGAUGUGCAUGACUACGAAGUCAAAAUGCGCAAUGUCGUCAAGUUCCUUGAAAAUGGCGACAAGGUCAAAGUGACGUUGCGCUUUCGGGGCCGCGAGAUGGCGCACCAGGAUUUGGGGCGUGUGCUUUUGGAACGCGUGGCAGAAGACACCAAAGCCAUCGGCAAAAUCGAAAGCAUGCCAAAGCUUGAAGGUCGCCAAAUGGUCAUGAUGAUCGGCCCGCUGCCGAAGUGAGGCGUUGCGUCUGACGUGAAUGAUGAAGCCCCCGCUGUGAAAACAUCGGGGGAUUUUUUAUGGAGAUUGAGAAAUAUCAUGAGCUUUUGGGAUCA